rnacentral:rRNA from 1 species
AUCUGCGAUAAGCGCCGGUAAGGUGAUAUGAACCGUUAUAACCGGCGAUACCCGAAUGGGGAAACCCAGUGUGAUUCGUCACACUAUCAUUAACUGAAUCCAUAGGUUAAUGAGGCGAACCGGGGGAACUGAAACAUCUAAGUACCCCGAGGAAAAGAAAUCAACCGAGAUUCCCCCAGUAGCGGCGAGCGAACGGGGAGGAGCCCAGAGCCUGAAUCAGCAUGUGUGUUAGUGGAAGCGUCUGGAAAGGCGCGCGAUACAGGGUGACAGCCCCGUACACAAAAGCGCAUGUGCUGUGAGCUCGAUGAGUAGGGCGGGACACGUGGUAUCCUGUCUGAAUAUGGGGGGACCAUCCUCCAAGGCUAAAUACUCCUGACUGACCGAUAGUGAACCAGUACCGUGAGGGAAAGGCGAAAAGAACCCCGGCGAGGGGAGUGAAAAAGAACCUGAAACCGUGUACGUACAAGCAGUGGGAGCACCCUUUGGGUGUGACUGCGUACC